rnacentral:tRNA from 1 species
AGACGGGUUCCCGAGCGGCCAAAGGGAGCAGACUGUAAAUCUGCCGUCAUCGACUUCGAAGGUUCGAAUCCUUCCCCCACCACCA